GACGAACGCUGGCGGCGUGCUUAACACAUGCAAGUCGAACGCUGAAGCUCAGCUUUUGUUGGGUGGAUGAGUGGCGAACGGGUGAGUAACAAGUGAGUAACCUGCCUCCUUCUUUGGGAUAACGCCCGGAAACGGGUGCUAAUACUGGAUAUUCACUGGUCUUCGCAUGGGGGUUGGUGGAAAGGGUUUUUCGGGUGGGGGAUGGGCUCGCGGCCUAUCAGCUUGUUGGGGGGGUGAUGGCCUACCAAGGCUUUGACGGGUAGCCGGCCUGAGAGGGUGACCGGUAACAUUGGGACUGAGAUACGGCCCAGACUACUACGGGAGGCAGCAGUGGGGACUAAUGCACAAUGGGCGCAAGACUGAUGCAGCGACGAUGCGUGAGGGAUGGAGGCCUUCGGGUUGUGAAACUCUUUCGCUAAUGGUCAAGCCGCAACAAUGGUUGUGGUGAGGGUAGUGGGUAAAGAAGCGCCGGCUAACUACGUG
rnacentral:rRNA from 1 species